rnacentral:lncRNA from 1 species
CAGAAAUGAAAGAAUAUCUAUUCUCUCCUUUGUGAAUAGGAUGUGAACUCUUCUGAGAUCACACAAACGGGUUUCGAUGCUCUGAGAGUCACACAGGCUGGGUGUAGGCAUACUUGGGAUAACAGACUGGGAUGUGAACCCCAUGAGUCACACAGACUGCAGUUUGGAAAUGCUGGGGUCAGACAGACUAGGUAUAGAUACUCAUAUCGACUGUGAUAUGAACACUUCUGGGGUCACACAGACAGGAAUUUGGACACUUAUGGGUCACACAGAUUGGAGUGUGAACUUACGGGUUCAGGGACCAGGAUGCCAACAAUCCUCAGGCCACAGAGACUAGAAUGUGGACACUCCUGGCCACAUACAUACUGGGACAUGACUACUUCUGGUGUCACACAGAGCAGGGUGCAGAAACUCCUGGGGUCACACAGUGUCAGGUAUAGAUCACAGGAGUGUCCAUACGCCAGUCUGUGACUCCACUAGAACUCACAUUUAUUUCUGUGAACACUUAUGUCCACACUGCAGUCUCUCACCCCAUUAUAUCCUGACUGCAGUCUGCAUUUCCUUAAUAGUGACCACUCUGAAGUCCUUAUAAGUCCAGUAAUUUAAUCUUCUAUAUUUGAGUUCAGAUCUGAAGGCCACUAAUGCUGAAGUAUUUGCCAUAAGCCCAGGUUUAAAGUGUAACCGAAGAGGCAUGGAUAUAGAGACACUUAACAAUUGUCCAGUUGGGUGCAGUGGCUCUUGAUGGUAAAGUAGUUGACAAACACACAGGUUCAAAGUCAGACAAAGGGCAGGGAACAGUUAAUCGAAGCCUCGAUUUGAGGCAAGACCAGAGUGGAAUUGAUAGUGGAAUGAUUGACAGAGCUUCAGAUCUGAUGUGAAACCAGUGAUGCUGAACAAGUUAACCGAGGCCCAAAUGUGACUGAUAACACUAUUUUUAUUCUUUCUUCAUUAUUUAUUCCCCCUUAGGUGGUGAGUCAAGAAAAGUGCCACCAAGAUGAGUUUAAAGUAGAAUGUCAAAUCUGCCACCUCAAAAUUUCACAAGGAGGAAACCCCCAAAAUCAUGCACAACAAUAUUCACAAUCAAUCAUCUUGAAUCCAGACUCAAUAGACAAUGUGAAGAGUGUAAACAAAAGAAGAAAGUGUUAGCGAAAAAGGAGGUUCCUCAAAAUUAUCCUGCCAUCCACAGACCUUGGUAGAAACUGGGCAUCUGUGUGGUGUUGCACACUGUGCAGAAAAACAGUAACAGAGCAGGCCUCAACUGCGAUCCUUGGAAAGGCCUGCUUCAAGGUUGGCCCUUGGGUGGUGUCUAAGAACAUAGACUCCAGGAGGGUUCCCACCAUUCCCUAAGAGAUAAGAAUGGCUCACUCGGGCCGGGUGUGGUGGCUCACACCUGUAACGCCAGCACUUUGGUAGGCCAAGGUGAGAGGAUCACUUGAGCCCAGGAGUUCAAGGCCAGCCUGGGCAACAUGGCAAAACCCAUCUCUGCAAAAAUCAGCUGGGGUCAUGGUGGUGCAUGUCUGUGGUCCCAGCUACUUUGGAGGAUGAGGCAGCAGGACCGCUUGAGCCUGGGAGGUUGAGGCUGCAGCGAACCAUGUUUGAGCCACUGCACUCCAGCCUGGGCAACAAAGUGAGACCCUGUCUCAAAAAAAAAAAAAAAGAAAGAAAGAAAAAAAAGAAUGGCUUACUCUACCUAAGCUGUUUGUAUAAAAAAGUGGGCCAGGAGCGGUGGCUCAUGCCUGUAAUCCCAGCACUUUGGGAGGUCGAGGCAGGCGGAUCACAAGGUCAAGAGAUGGAGACCAGCCUGGCCAAUAUGGUGAAACCCCGUCUCUACUAAAAAUACAAAAAUUAGCUGGGCGUGGUGGUGGCAGGCGCCUGUAGUCCCAGCUAUUCAGGAAGCUGAGGCAGGAGAAUUGCUUGAACCCAGGAGGCGGAGGUUACAGUAAGCCGAGAUCACGCCACUGCACUCCAGCCUGGCGACAAAGCGAGACUCCGUCUCAAUUAAAAAAAAAAAAAAAAAGGUGGUUUAUGCUGAGCCCCUGCUUUCCUUUUGGGAGCCUGGGAUUUGGGUAGGUGCCAGGCAGGGGGUGCCUAUGUGACCAUGCCCCAAUAAAAACUUGAUACCAGCCAGGUGCUCACGCCUGUAAUCCCAGCAGUUUGGGAGGCUGAGGUGGGAGGAUCACUUGAGGUCAGGAGUUCAAGAUCAGCCUGGCCAACAUGGUGAAACCCCAUCCCUACUAAAAAUACAAAAAUUAGCCGAGCUUGCUGGUGCGCGCCUGUAGUUCCAGCUAUUCGGGAAGCUGAGGCCCGAGGAUCGCUUGAACCCAGGAGGUGGAGGCUGCAGUGAGCCAAGAUCAUGCCACUGCAUUCCAGCCUGGGCGUCAGAGCAAGACCCCCCCCCCCCCGCCAAAAAAAAACCAAAACAACAACAACAACAAAAAAAACCUCUGGGUGCUGAGUCUCUAAUUGAGCUUCCUUGGUCAGCAACAUUUCGCAUGUAUUGUCACAACCCAUUACUGUGAACCGAGCACAUCUUGUGUGACUCCAAUGAGAGAGAAGCCCUGGAAACUUGUGCCUGGGUCUCUCUGGGAGUUGGUCCUGCACACCAUUUCUUUUUGCUGAUUUUGCUCCAUAUCUUUUUGUUGUAAUAAGUCAAUCGUAGCCAUGAAUACAACCACAUACUGAGUCUUGGGAGUCCUCCUAGCAAAUCACUGGGCUUGGGGCUGGUAUUGAGGACCAUGACACACACACACAUACAUGACCUUUACCAUGGGAACAAUCCAGCUCACUGAUGUCCCUAUCUCACCACCAUGUACCCUGAGGUCUAUUAGAUGGAAGUGCCAGUUAGAAAUGCUUGGGGUGCAAGUAACCACACUGUCAAAUAACUGGACUGAACAAACGGGAGAUUAUUUCCCUCCAACAAGACUGUUGGUGCGAGUUCAGCAGCUCAGCAAUGCUGGGCCAAGCUGGAGUCUCUACCACGCUGUGGACUGACCCUAAGGUCCCAAGAUGUCAGUCGCAGUUCCAGUCAACGCAUAUGUGGCAACAAAUGGAGCUGAGAAGGAAGGGAGGGGCCGGAGCAAGAGCCUCUUUGCUGCUUCAGGUAACUUUGACAUUUUCUGGUGACGCAGGCCACUGAUAAGUGAUUUUGGUUAUUUACCCCCAUCAAUACUCAAAGCUUUUUCUCCUCUCUUGGGGCUCCCCUCAAAUACUUAACAUCACUUUUUGGUCUCUGAGCUGUUCCAGGGCUGGAAUUUGUACCCUGGAUGGGGCUGGGAGGAGACAGGGGUGGUCUGAGGGAUGGAGAUUCCGCCACACAGCAGGAGGCCCCAGGUCAGCCUUAACUUCCCGUUGCUCCUGCACCAGCUUGGGGCUCCAGGACUCAACACCUCUGCUCCCUGCUUUUAAUAAACAACACAAUGCACAGAAGGGUUGGGAAUAUCGCCCCCUGAGGAGGCAGCAGAGUCCUGCAGCCUAACAUAGUGAACCCCCUGGGGGUCCGACCCAACAUUCCCCCGCCAACUCCUCCACUGUCACUACCCUGGUGCAAGUCCCCAUCACUGCGCUCAGAGGGGUCUCCUGCUGGGUCCCCUGCUUCUACCCCCACCCCCAAUCUGUCCCCUUCAGCAGCCAGAGGGAGCCUCUAUGACCAAGUCAGAUCAUGUUCCUCCUCUGCUUGACACCUUCUGGUCACCCCCACUCAGAAAAAAAGCCAAAGUCCUAACUGUGGCCCAUGAAGCAUCUGGCCUGUCUGACCUCAUGUACUGUCACACUCUGGUCCAGCAAGACUCUGGCAUACACAAUGAUCCUUCUGGAGCGCUCCAGCCUCAGUGCCUUUAGGCUGGCUUUCUCUCUGCCUGGAAUGUUCUCCCCCUACACUAUGACUCCCACUCACUUCAUUCAGGUCUUUAAAUGUCACCCUGAGCCAGGCGUGGUGGUUCAUGCCUGUAAUCCCAGCACUUUGGGAGGCUGAGGCGAGUGGAUCGCUUGAGCCCAGGAGUUCAAGACCAGCCUGAGCAACAUGGCGAGACCCCGUCUCUACUAAAAAUACAAAAAUUACCCGAGUGUGGUGGCACACACCUGUAGUCCCAGCUACUUGGGAGGCUUAAGUGAGGAUCACUUGAGCCCUGGAGGUUGAGGCUGCAGUGAGCUAUGGUCAUGCCACUGCAUUCCAACCUGGGUGACAGAGUGAGACCCUGUCUCAAAAACAAAAAAGUCACCCUGUCAGGAUCAUCUUCCCUGAUGCUGUCACCAUAAAGAGCCCACUCCCCCAACUUCUGCAGCUCUGUCUCCCAUCCUUGCUUUAUUUUCUUCAUACCACUCAUCAUUAGCUGGCCUGUUCCAUGUUUUUAUCUACUGUCUCCGCUAUGAUGCAAGCCCAAUGAAGGCAGGCAUUUCCAUCAGUUUAGGUCAGAGCAGUAUCCCCAGUGCCUAGAACAGUUCCUGGCACACGGUCAGGGCUCACUAAUGUCUAUCGAAUGCAUAAGUGUGUAAAACAGUUAAGGCAGGGCCUGUAACCCAGCAGACAUUCAAUCAAUGCUUGUGGAAUGAAUGAAUCCGUCGAUGCAUGAAUGCACAAAUGAGUCAAUGAACCCCGUUCCACCGUGUUCCUGGAGCUGCCCGCUGCCCUCUGCCCUGUCCGUCCCCGGCAGAGCUGGGAGCCGGCC